rnacentral:rRNA from 1 species
GUAGGUGGCAAGCGUUGUCCGGAAUUAUUGGGCGUAAAGCGCGCGCAGGCGGUUCUUUAAGUCUGGUGUGAAAGCCCACGGCUCAACCGUGGAGGGUCAUUGGAAACUGGAGAACUUGAGUACAGAAGAGGAAAGCGGAAUUCCACGUGUAGCGGUGAAAUGCGUAGAGAUGUGGAGGAACACCAGUGGCGAAGGCGGCUUUCUGGCCUGUAACUGACGCUGAGGCGCGAAAGCGUGGGGAGCAAACAGGAUUAGAUACCCUGGUAGUCCACGCCGUAAACGAUGAGUGCUAAGUGUUAGGGGGGUUUCCGCCCCCCUUAGUGCUGCAGCUAACGCAUUAAGCACUCCGCCUGGGAGUACGGCCGCAAGGCUG